rnacentral:rRNA from 1 species
UACGAAGGGGGCUAGCGUUGCUCGGAAUCACUGGGCGUAAAGCGCACGUAGGCGGAUUGCUAAGUCAGGGGUGAAAUCCUGGAGCUCAACUCCAGAACUGCCUUUGAUACUGGCGACCUUGAGUCCGGGAGAGGUGAGUGGAACUGCGAGUGUAGAGGUGAAAUUCGUAGAUAUUCGCAAGAACACCAGUGGCGAAGGCGGCUCACUGGCCCGGUACUGACGCUGAGGUGCGAAAGCGUGGGGAGCAAACAGGAUUAAGAAACCCC